AGGAAUGAAAUACAUUUUAAAGUAUGAAAAGUGAAUUUUAAAAAGUAUUUUAAAAAGUGAAUGAAAACUUAUUUUCAAUUAAAAAUAUAUAUAUUUUACAAUAUUAAUGUUUUGUACUGUAAAUUUGAUCAAAUUAAUAUAGCCUUGGUGAGCAGAAGAGAUUUCUUUUGAAAAAAAAACAAAGAUUCCAGAUUUUUGACUGGUUGUGUACAUACAUUAGCAACAUUAACACGGCACGAUCCUCCCUUUCAGCUGCCGGAGAAGGAUAUUGACAGUGCAGGCUCAGGAUGGCGAAGAGGAGGAAGAACACCUUUAACAUAAUUUUCUCAUAUCUUUGCCAUGUGUUAUAAUAAAAACAAUAAACCUGACUACAAUAAUAUGGUAAAUUUUAUUAAAAGAUUCCAGUUUGCAAGAAAUCUCUGACUCUGCACUAGAGGAACUCUUUGCUGAAGAAGACCAAGUGCUGAGGAGGAGCCUUGUUCUACAGCAAAACACUAUCAACCCUCCAUGAAAAGAUGAAGAGUGAAGAGUCUCCCUCCUGUCCUUCCCCCAGAAGAGUCUGCCUUCUGCUGUGGGGUAAGAACGACACUCUUCCUCUUCUCUCGCAGCCGUCCAGCACCUAACUCUGCCUCCUCAGCACUGUCUGAAAGAGUCUUCUCCACAGUCAGUAAUCAGAGAUCACACAUUCUCCAGAGAAACUCAACAUGCUCAUUUUCCUAAACAAAAACUGUUUAUGUUUUUUGGGGUCGGCCAAAUUAUGCUAUAAUUAUUAGGAGUGAUGCUAGAAAUCUUUAUAUUCUUCAUUUUACAUAUCUUUACUCUUUAUGAAUGUUAUUUUCUUUAUUUCUUUUAUCUUCCAAGAAGCUCAAGAACUAUGGUUCUUUGGUAAUUGUAAUAUUGUUUAGGUUUAUCUUCUGAUAGUGAAGCACUAUUAAAGCACAUCACCACCAGAUAUUUGUAGCAGGUACCUCAUAUAGGAUAAUCCGGAAACAAUUUAACGUAAUUCUGCAAAGUAGUAGUAAUGAAGUAUCUACUGAAUUGUUUCAUAUCUUUUUAUCAUGUCUUUAUUUUUUUUGCACCAAAUUAAGGGAGUUGUAUCAAUAAGAGUACUGAUAAUUAUUGAUAAUUUUCACUGAUAACAGCAUUAUUUAACUAUGCACAUCCUUAAUGAGACACAAACUUUUUCAGUUGAUUAUAUUGUGCAAUCUAUGAAUUGAUGUGCACUUUGCAUGGUUAAAGAACAGGUGUAAUGUUCGAAAUGUUUUGGUUUAGUAUUUGUAGAAAGUAGCACUGAAUAAAUGUUGAUUCAUGAAUGCAUUGUGUUUUUGUCUAUUUUCUAUUAGAAUUUAAUGUUCUUGAAUUGGUUUGCACUGCAUGUAUGUAAUGAAUGUAUUUACUAUAAAUCCCUUAUAGACGGUCUGUGUUUGUUUAUCGGUCUUGUUAGUGGCGCCGGCUACAAACACAGUUAAAGUUAAAGUGAUGAGUAAUGAAGUUGGGCUCAGGUUGUUGUGCUGUGGCAUGUGUUUCCCAUACAUUUGUUUAUUUGUGGCGACCCGCCACGAUAUCAAAACUGACCGAUUUUCCAAAAGGCUUCGUUGAAUAAACAUGAGCACAUAGCGCACGUUUAAAAAUCAAAACGAGGCGCAGGUGUUUUUAUAUCACUGUAUUUCUGAAGGAACACUGUCUUUAGAAAAUGUUUGAUGUCAUUUUCAUUUCAUCUUGCAUGUUAUAUGCCUGAUUAAGCAGCCUUUGUAAGCUCAGCACUGCUUGUGUACAGCCCAACAGCCGUUUCCGGGGGAAACCUCUAGUUCUCCGGCUUUAAAGCGCCUCCUGCUGGCAGAGAAUGAAUUUGCAUUUUUAAUAAGUCCGUCCAAGUAGUUAUCGCUGAAUCUCAGUCCGUCUGAUUUACACAGCAAACAUAUUUUGUUUGUUAUCAAAACGUAAUCUACUCUAGAGGGACUUAGCUGUUGUUACUGAUUGUAUUUGGAUGUCUACCGGAAGUUAAGUUUGGGCCACAAAAGCGCGCAUGCGCAGUAACGUUUGUUUAUGUUGUUGCCGUUGAAACCGUCUAUAAUUAAAUUACUGUUAGAUUUUAUAAGGUUUCUUUUUUGCACCAAAGAUGAGUUUAUUAGUUCUAUAUGCAUUUCAAAGUAAUGGUCAGAACACAUUCUCAAGACCCGUAUAUGGUCCGGUCCAGUUACGUCGUCACAACGUAACUGUGUUAGCUGGGUCGCUUCACUGCUGCAAUCCAGGAGCGUUUCUCGGAAAUCUAACCCUUUAAUUUCCGAUUAUUUAUAAGUGAAAUGUUAGUUCCAGCCCAGAGGGAGCACCCAACCACUGAGCAAUAAGGAUCUCAAUUUUAAUUUUGACAAUUUAAACAGCAGGAUUAAAUUAAUUAUUGCAAUCCUACUGUGUAUCAAGUGCCUUGCGUUCGAACAUUAACCGGAAACGUCCGAGGACCAAAGACGUCACUUCCUUAAACAGCCGAAUAGCCGUUGAAAUGGUCUAUAUAUUAACUGUUGGUAAGCUGACAAGAAAAGUUAUUUAGGAAAAUUAUUAUUUUAGUUAUUGCAUUUAAGACUGCUAUACCACGUGCAGCUAAAAACAAAAACAACAACAACAACAAAAAAAAAAAAAAAGAAAGAAAAACAAAUUGUGUAAUAGCCGCAUUAGGAGACAGGCUACAGCAAGUGUAGAUCAAAUGAGCACAUGAUCGAAUGACAUCACUUUAGGGCACACAGCAUGUAUCCAUGGCAACGCUCAGCUGCUUAGUGACCGUUAAACGGUUCUCCCGAUGAUUUCCUCAGACACGGCCUUGAGUUUUAGCCUUCAUCGGUCGAAAAGUUUACCAUAGACGUCGCCCUACCCUGCUCAUAUGGUAUUAAUUUGUGCAGGUCUUAAAAAGUCUUAAAUUGGAGCUUAAAAAUCCUGCAGCAACCCUGGUUAUGAAACAACUGGAAGACUUGCCUUCGGACUAAACCCACAGCUGACAACCAGAGACGCAGACGCAGACACACACACACACACACACACACACACGGAAAGAGAACCGCAACUUUACAAUUGUUCAAUUUAAAAUAAACGUAUUUUGCUCCAUACAACGUGUCUGUUGUCUUUGGUUAGCCUAAAAGUAAAAUAAAAUGACAUUCAGAGUACUUAAAGCAAACGUCCCCUAAACGUCCCGAAUGGCCGCUGCACGUCCCGUGAACGUCCUCGUGAACGUUUAGGGGACGCCCUGGGGACCUUUUUUUGUUAGCUGGGGCGACACUCAAAUCUGCUGCUAUAAAACACAUGACAAUUAGAUACAACCUGAAAACUGUAACAGUACACCUGUAAAUAGUAACAGUGUAGUAAUACUGGCCAAUAGACUGUAGAACAAGAAAACUUCAUUUCUAAACAGCAUUUGUUAACAUUUAUAACGUCAUAAACAUGAAAGCAAUACAAACGGGUACAAAUCAGGUUGGCUGAAGGAGACAAUAUACUGCAGAUAUACAUAUGACUAGAAAAACAGAAAUUACACUUUCACUCGACUCAUAUUACAAUUAUCAGAAAUUUUAAGACCGGCACAAUGACCACAUGCACUCGUUCCCGCUCGAGGAAAUUCAAUACAUUUAAAAUGACCUCAACAACCGUGUUAAAUAUACAUUAUAUACUCAUGUUCAAAUACGGCAAUUCAAUCAAUUACGUCGAAAAUAUUCACAUAAAACAUAUUUCCACAAUUAAUACGUUAAUGAGUUAGAGCGUGGAAAAUCGUAUACCCACAGCAGCGACACUCUGCUGCGGUACGGAAAGAGAAGAGGGACAAAAUACUACAUCUGCAAUACCAUUAAUAGCCACAGGAGGGGAGCCUUCGAACACCAACAAAUACAAACAAAUCCCUUAUUUUAUGAAAUUCACACAUCUUUACUCUUUAAAUUAAAUGUUCUAUUUUACCCCGUUACUCACACUAGGCAAUCCGUGACCAAGCACGUUUGACCCCCAAAGCCCGGUUCGUUUGAUUAGUGUUUGAGUAGUGAUCGCU